rnacentral:rRNA from 1 species
AUUGAACGCUGGCGGCAGGCUUAACACAUGCAAGUCGAGCGGAGAGAGGUAGCUUGCUACUGAUCUUAGCGGCGGACGGGUGAGUAAUGCUUAGGAAUCUGCCUAUUAGUGGGGGACAACAUUUCGAAAGGAAUGCUAAUACCGCAUACGUCCUACGGGAGAAAGCAGGGGAUCUUCGGACCUUGCGCUAAUAGAUGAGCCUAAGUCGGAUUAGCUAGUUGGUGGGGUAAAGGCCUACCAAGGCGACGAUCUGUAGCGGGUCUGAGAGGAUGAUCCGCCACACUGGGACUGAGACACGGCCCAGACUCCUACGGGAGGCAGCAGUGGGGAAUAUUGGACAAUGGGCGCAAGCCUGAUCCAGCCAUGCCGCGUGUGUGAAGAAGGCCUUAUGGUUGUAAAGCACUUUAAGCGAGGAGGAGGCUACUUUAGAUAAUACCUAGAGAUAGUGGACGUUACUCGCAGAAUAAGCACCGGCUAACUCUGUGCCAGCAGCCGCGGUAAUACAGAGGGUGCAAGCGUUAAUCGGAUUUACUGGGCGUAAAGCGCGCGUAGGCGGCUAAUUAAGUCAAAUGUGAAAUCCCCGAGCUUAACUUGGGAAUUGCAUUCGAUACUGGUUAGCUAGAGUGUGGGAGAGGAUGGUAGAAUUCCAGGUGUAGCGGUGAAAUGCGUAGAGAUCUGGAGGAAUACCGAUGGCGAAGGCAGCCAUCUGGCCUAACACUGACGCUGAGGUGCGAAAGCAUGGGGAGCAAACAGGAUUAGAUACCCUGGUAGUCCAUGCCGUAAACGAUGUCUACUAGCCGUUGGGGCCUUUGAGGCUUUAGUGGCGCAGCUAACGCGAUAAGUAGACCGCCUGGGGAGUACGGUCGCAAGACUAAAACUCAAAUGAAUUGACGGGGGCCCGCACAAGCGGUGGAGCAUGUGGUUUAAUUCGAUGCAACGCGAAGAACCUUACCUGGCCUUGACAUAGUAAGAACUUUCCAGAGAUGGAUUGGUGCCUUCGGGAACUUACAUACAGGUGCUGCAUGGCUGUCGUCAGCUCGUGUCGUGAGAUGUUGGGUUAAGUCCCGCAACGAGCGCAACCCUUUUCCUUAUUUGCCAGCGAGUAAUGUCGGGAACUUUAAGGAUACUGCCAGUGACAAACUGGAGGAAGGCGGGGACGACGUCAAGUCAUCAUGGCCCUUACGGCCAGGGCUACACACGUGCUACAAUGGUCGGUACAAAGGGUUGCUACCUAGCGAUAGGAUGCUAAUCUCAAAAAGCCGAUCGGAGUCCGGAUUGGAGUCUGCAACUCGACUCCAUGAAGUCGGAAUCGCUAGUAAUCGCGGAUCAGAAUGCCGCGGUGAAUACGUUCCCGGGCCU